rnacentral:rRNA from 1 species
AACGAACGCUGGCGGCAGGCCUAACACAUGCAAGUCGAGGGGGAAGCCACUUUCGGGUGGUGGAGACCGGCGCACGGGUGAGUAACGCGUGGGCACCUGCCCUGGGGUGGGGGAUAACCGCUGGAAACGGCGGCUAAUACCGCAUACGCCCUAUUUUCGUAGAGGAGAUGGGGGAAAGAUUUAUUGCCCUGGGAUGGGCCCGCGUUGGAUUAGCUUGUUGGUGGGGUAAAGGCCUACCAAGGCGACGAUCCAUAGCUGGUCUGAGAGGAUGAUCAGCCACACUGGGACUGAGACACGGCCCAGACUCCUACGGGAGGCAGCAGUGGGGAAUAUUGGACAAUGGGGGAAACCCUGAUCCAGCCAUGCCGCGUGAGUGAAGAAGGCCUUAGGGUUGUAAAGCUCUUUCGCUAGGGAAGAUAAUGACGGUACCUAGUAAAGAAGCCCCGGCUAACUUCGUG